AUGUGCUACCCCAAAAUUGAAAGUGGUAUGGGGUUCAGGGACUUGUACUCUUUUAACUUGGCAAUGCUCUCAAAACAGUGUUGGCGCCUGAUUACUAACCCUGAGUCCCUUUGUGCUUGAGUGUUAAAGGCAAAAUACUACCCAAAUGUUGAUUUACUUCAUGCAACACUUAAAAACGGUGCAUCAUUCACAUGGCAGAGUGUGAUGAAGGGACUGGAUACUUUCAAGUUGGGAUAUAUCUGGCGCAUUGGUACUGGAGAGAGUGUUAACAUUUGGCAUGAUCCAUGGAUACCUGCAAGUCCAGACUGAAAGGUAAUCUCAAGUCGGGGCCAAUCUAUCCUAACCUCAGUUAGCGAGCUACUGGAUCCUUAUACAGGAACAUGGGAUGAAGAGAUCAUCAGAUCUAUCUUUAAUCCAGUUGAUGUUCAAAGGAUAUUACAGAUUCCAGUCAACACUAAUUCCUUUGAUGAUUUCAUUGCAUGGCAUCCUGAAUGUAACGACAUUUUCACUGUUCGAUCA
rnacentral:rRNA from 1 species